rnacentral:tRNA from 1 species
AUUUAUAUAGUUUAAAUAAAACAUUACAUUUUCAAUGUAAAAAUAAAUUUUUUUUUAUAAAUA